GCACCCAUCGUCUAGCGGUCCAGGACGCCAGGUUUUCAACCUGGCUACAGGGGUUCGAUUCCCCUUGGGUGUACCA
rnacentral:tRNA from 1 species